ensembl:snoRNA
GAAGCACUUUCACAGGCCGUCCCCUAGAUCAUGGGGAUAGGACUUGGUAGCUGGUGCUGAAAGGAAAUCCUUGAUUGCAUUCUUGGCCUGAGUCUGUGCCAGUGGCAGCUGUCCGCUUGAUGGGACACAA